rnacentral:rRNA from 1 species
AAAUUGAAGAGUUUGAUCAUGGCUCAGAUUGAACGCUGGCGGCAGGCCUAACACAUGCAAGUCGAACGGUAGCACAGAGAGCUUGCUCUCGGGUGACGAGUGGCGGACGGGUGAGUAAUGUCUGGGAAACUGCCUGAUGGAGGGGGAUAACUACUGGAAACGGUAGCUAAUACCGCAUAACGUCGCAAGACCAAAGAGGGGGACCUUCGGGCCUCUUGCCAUCAGAUGUGCCCAGAUGGGAUUAG